rnacentral:rRNA from 1 species
UACGAAGGGGGCAAGCGUUAUCCGGAAUUAUUGGGCGUAAAGCGUCCGUAGGUGGCUAGUCAAGUCUGCGGUCAAAGACUGGGGCUUAACCCUGGAAAGGCCGUGGAAACUGACGAGCUAGAGUGCAGUAGGGGUAGAGGGAAUUCCCGGUGUAGCGGUGAAAUGCGUAGAGCUCGGGAAGAACAUCGGUGGCGAAAGCGCUCUACUGGACUGCAACUGACACUCAGGGACGAAAGCUAGGGGAGCGAAUGGG